rfam:Nomascus leucogenys chromosome 19, whole genome shotgun sequence.
GUCUAUGGCCAUACCACCCUGAAUGUGCCCAAUCUCGUCUGAUCUCGGAAGCUAAGCAGGGUCGGGCCUGGUUAGUACUUGGAUGGGAGAAGUCACCUUUCUCAGAUCAGCUAAGUUAGUUAUCACUU